CUUUAGCUCAGUUUCUACUUCUUUCUUGGUCUAUGAAUCAUUUUAUUUUGCUCAAAGUGAUUCAAAUUUAUAUUUUAUCAUUUCAUAGAGUUCCUCAUAAUUUUUGGGAUAAUAAUAUAUCACCCUUAUAUUUUUAUCUUAACUCUAUGAGCUAAAUCAUUCAGUGUCUAAAUCAAUUCGUACCGGUUUUAAAAAAAUAUAUAUCUUCUCAAAAUAUAAUUAGAAAAUAUCUCACCAUCCUUAUCCCUCCAUCCACCUCAUCCUCGACUCACUCUCAUUUCUCUCUUCCUCACUAUUUCUUUUUCUUCCUUCACGUUUUCUUUCUUUCUUCAGCAGACCCAUUUCUGCUCUUUCUUCCUUUCUUCUCCUUUUCUUCUUCUUUUCUUUCUUGGUUACCUACUUUAUCUCCUUCUUUUAUUUGCUGCAACAACUCCCCACCGUUCCUCUUUCUCUUUUGAUCAGCAUCUCCACAACCUUUUCUUCUCCAUGGACAACCAGUCCAUGAGCCACCACCUCUACUCUCCCUCUUGCAACCGCUGAUCACACCAUCACUAUCACCAUGAUUCUUCUCCUUUCUAAUUUGCAGCAACAAACAUGGCACCACCACCAAUAUGAAAGCCACACACACCCCUUCUCAUCACAUAUUUGCUCCAUCUUCUAACCACCACCGUUCCUUGCUCUCCAUGGAGCCUAACAAUCCACCAUCUUUGUUCUCCUUCUUCUGGUUUUGAAUGGAGACCCCCAUGAAAGGACCCAAGCACCACCACCGUGAGCUCCAUCACGCAGAGGACGCCACCGGCACAUCAUCUUCUCAUUUUCCUUGACGACGAAAGGAGGUGAUGUGAGCAGAUGCUACUCCACUUGGAAGAUCUAUAGAAGACUCGGAGAAUAGAGUCGGGUGUAGGGCUAGAGCCUUUGGGUAGAAAAGCUUACCGUUAUUGGUUUAAGCUUGCAGGAUCAUUUGAUGAUUUGUAUUUAAGGUUUCGGGUAGGUUCCGGUGCAUUGCUUUCCUAUGGUUACUCAGUGUGGAAAUCAUAGGGAGUAUAUCGGAUUUAUGGAGUCAUUGCAUAGUGAGUCCGUGUUGGAUCUUAGUUUAUUUGCCAUGUACUCUAUGCUGUGCCUUGAUCGAGGCCAGAUGUAAAUUAUUUACGGUUGGGAGUAUGCAUUACAUAUUUUAGAAACACUUCGAAAAGGAAAAAAAAAUAAAUACUCACAUUUAUAAAUCCCUUUUGGAAAA